GACGAACGCUGGCGGCGUGCUUAACACAUGCAAGUCGAACGGAAAGGCCCUGCUUUUGUGGGGUGCUCGAGUGGCGAACGGGUGAGUAACACGUGAGUAACCUGCCCUUGACUUUGGGAUAACUUCAGGAAACUGGGGCUAAUACCGGAUAGGAGCUCCUGCUGCAUGGUGGGGGUUGGAAAGUUUCGGCGGUUGGGGAUGGACUCGCGGCUUAUCAGCUUGUUGGUGGGGUAGUGGCUUACCAAGGCUUUGACGGGUAGCCGGCCUGAGAGGGUGACCGGCCACAUUGGGACUGGGAUACGGCCCAGACUCCACGGGAGGCAGCAGUGGGGAAUAUUGCACAAUGGGCGGAAGCCUGAUGCAGCAACGCCGCGUGCGGGAUGACGGCCUUCGGGUUGUAAACCGCUUUCGCCUGUGACGAAGCGUGAGUGACGGUAAUGGGUAAAGAAGCACCGGCUAACUACGUG
rnacentral:rRNA from 1 species